rnacentral:rRNA from 1 species
CAGUAGCCGCGGGAAUACGGAGGGAGCUAGCGUUGUUCGGAAUUACUGGGCGUAAAGCGCGCGUAGGCGGUUACUCAAGUCAGAGGUGAAAGCCCGGGGCUCAACCCCGGAACUGCCUUUGAAACUAGGUGACUAGAAUCUUGGAGAGGUCAGUGGAAUUCCGAGUGUAGAGGUGAAAUUCGUAGAUAUUCGGAAGAACACCAGUGGCGAAGGCGACUGACUGGACAAGUAUUGACGCUGAGGUGCGAAAGCGUGGGGAGCAAACAGGAUUAGAUACCCCUGUAGUCCCUGUCUCUUAUAA